rnacentral:rRNA from 1 species
GACAGAGGUGCCAAGCGUUAGGCGGAAUCACUGGGCUUAAAGCGCGUGUAGGUGGCGGCCUAAGUACCUUGUGAAAUCCUGCGGCUCAACCGCAGAGCUGCUUGGUAUACUGGGUCGCUUGAGCCAUCCAGGGGCAACUGGAACAAGCGGUGGAGCGGUGAAAUGCGUAGAUAUCGCUUGGAACGCCAAAGGUGAAAACAGGUUGCUGGGGAUGCGCUGACACUGAGACGCGAAAGCCAGGGGAGCGAACGGG